rnacentral:rRNA from 1 species
GGGUGCAUGAAGUUGGAAUCGCUAGUAAUCGCGGAUCAGCACGCCGCGGUGAAUACGUUCCCGGGCCUUGUACACACCGCCCGUCACACCAUGGGAGUUGGCUUUACCCGAAGGUGGUGCGCUAACCGGCAACGGAGGCAGCCAACCACGGUCAGGUCAGCGACUGGGGUGAAGUCGUAACAAGGUAGCCGUAGGGGAACCUGCGGCUGGAUCACCUCCUUUCUAAGG